rnacentral:rRNA from 1 species
GAUCUAGCUACAUGCCAUGUCUGUCAGUUGAGCGCUGAGGUUGGUACUUGUACCGACUGGAUGAGCAGCGAACGGGUGAGUAACGCGUGGGGAAUCUGCCUUUGAGCGGGGGACAACAUUUGGAAACGAAUGCUAAUACCGCAUAAAAACUUUAAACACAAGUUUUAAGUUUGAAAGAUGCAAUUGCAUCACUCAAAGAUGAUCCCGCGUUGUAUUAGCUAGUUGGUGAGGUAAAGGCUCACCAAGGCGAUGAUACAUAGCCGACCUGAGAGGGUGAUCGGCCACAUUGGGACUGAGACACGGCCCAAACUCCUACGGGAGGCAGCAGUAGGGAAUCUUCGGCAAUGGACGAAAGUCUGACCGAGCAACGCCGCGUGAGUGAAGAAGGUUUUCGGAUCGUAAAACUCUGUUGGUAGAGAAGAACGUUGGUGAGAGUGGAAAGCUCAUCAAGUGACGGUAACUACCCAGAAAGGGACGGCUAACUACGUGCCAGCAGCCGCGGUAAUACGUAGGUCCCGAGCGUUGUCCGGAUUUAUUGGGCGUAAAGCGAGCGCAGGUGGUUUAUUAAGUCUGGUGUAAAAGGCAGUGGCUCAACCAUUGUAUGCAUUGGAAACUGGUAGACUUGAGUGCAGGAGAGGAGAGUGGAAUUCCAUGUGUAGCGUGAAAUGCGUAGAUAUAUGGAGGAACACCGGUGGCGAAAGCGGCUCUCUGGCCCUGUAACUGACACUGAGGCUCGAAAGCGUGGGGAGCAAACAGGAUUAGAUACCUGGUAGUCCACGCCGUAAACGAUGAGUGCUAGAUGUAGGGAGCUAUAAGUUCUCUGUAUCGCAGCUAACGCAAUAAGCACUCCGCCUGGGGAGUACGACCGCAAGGUUGAAACUCAAAGGAAUUGACGGGGGCCCGCACAAGCGGUGGAGCAUGUGGUUUAAUUCGAAGCAACGCGAAGAACCUUACCAGGUCUUGACAUACUCGUGCUAUUCCUAGAGAUAGGAAGUUCCUUCGGGACACGGGAUACAGGUGGUGCAUGGUUGUCGUCAGCUCGUGUCGUGAGAUGUUGGGUUAAGUCCCGCAACGAGCGCAACCCCUAUUGUUAGUUGCCAUCAUUAAGUUGGGCACUCUAACGAGACUGCCGGUGAUAAACCGGAGGAAGGUGGGGAUGACGUCAAAUCAUCAUGCCCCUUAUGACCUGGGCUACACACGUGCUACAAUGGAUGGUACAACGAGUCGCGAGACAGUGAUGUUUAGCUAAUCUCUUAAAACCAUUCUCAGUUCGGAUUGUAGGCUGCAACUCGCCUACAUGAAGUCGGAAUCGCUAGUAAUCGCGGAUCAGCACGCCGCGGUGAAUACGUUCCCGGGCCUUGUACACACCGCCCGUCACACCACGGGAGUUGGGAGUACCCGAAGUAGGUUGCCUAACCGCAAGGUAGGGCGCUUCCUAAGGUAAGACUCGAUGACUGGGGGUAGACGAGAUAGACGAUACAGC